GGGUAGGGGAGCGUUCUGUAAGCCUGUGAAGGUGUACUGUGAGGUAUGCUGGAGGUAUCAGAAGUGCGAAUGCUGACAUAAGUAACGAUAAAGCGGGUGAAAAGCCCGCUCGCCGGAAGACCAAGGGUUCCUGUCCAACGUUAAUCGGGGCAGGGUGAGUCGACCCCUAAGGCGAGGCCGAAAGGCGUAGUCGAUGGGAAACAGGUUAAUAUUCCUGUACUUGGUGUUACUGCGAAGGGGGGACGGAGAAGGCUAUGUUGGCCGGGCGACGGUUGUCCCGGUUUAAGCGUGUAGGCUGGUUUUCCAGGCAAAUCCGGAAAAUCAAGGCUGAGGCGUGAUGACGAGGCACUACGGUGCUGAAGCAACAAAUGCCCUGCUUCCAGGAAAAGCCUCUAAGCAUCAGGUAACAUCAAAUCGUACCCCAAACCGACACAGGUGGUCAGGUAGAGAAUACCAAGGCGCUUGAGAGAACUCGGGUGAAGGAACUAGGCAAAAUGGUGCCGUAACUUCGGGAGAAGGCACGCUGAUAUGUAGGUGAAGUCCCUCGCGGAUGGAGCUGAAAUCAGUCGAAGAUACCAGCUGGCUGCAACUGUUUAUUAAAAACACAGCACUGUGCAAACACGAAAGUGGACGUAUACGGUGUGACGCCUGCCCGGUGC
rnacentral:rRNA from 1 species